CAUUCGUUUGCUGACCUCAGUCUUCACGCAAAUAUUACGUGAUAUUACGCCGAACUGUCAUUCGGCAAAUAUUUAGACGAAAUAAUAUUUCUCUUUUUCUUUCCACGUGUUUGUCUAGUGUAGUUAUAUAUACCUUGGUGUAUACUCUAUACACAAACGCUACAUAUAUACUUAAUGUAUACGUGCGAGAGCGACGAAAAAAUAUAAUAAUAAUAAAUUAUGACGCGUAAAAGCACAAUUAAUCGUAUGACAAAAUUUAUGCUCAUUUUGUUCGGUAUCUGGCCAGAUGUAUCGUACGUUAUAUUCUCCAGAAUAUUUUGGACCGUCACAAUAGCAAUCGUUCUAUUUUGCCAUUAUCCAUAUUUGUUGGCACAUCUCCAUUCUGACGAUGUGUUCGAUUUGAUGGACUGUUUCAGUAACUUCUUAGGAUUUCUUAAAUUAAUGAUCAAGAUCAUUUUCUUUUGGUUGAAUCAGCGAAUAUUCCACGAAAUUUUGACGAUGAUGGCGGAAGAUUGGAACGAUUGCACUAAAAAUGAUAUCGAGAUGCAUGAGGCAAUAAAUAAAGCAAAGACAUCGAAUCGUAUUACCAACGUGAUCAUGAUUAUUCAUACAGUUGCUGUACUGUUAUAUGGUGACCUUAUUCUGGCCAAAGUCGAUGUUACCGAUCGUACGAUCAAUCUACCCCACAUUUAUAAAAUAGAAGUUCCUUUCAGCAUAAACACGCAACGCACGUAUAAAGUCGUAUUAAUCGUAGAAUUAAUACAUCUCCUUGUGUGUAGUUGGGGCAUGGGUACAUUAAAUGCUUUAUUGCUAACCUUGAUCUUACACGUAGGUGGCCAAAUAAAUAUUCUGCGUUAUUGGUUAACGGAAUUGAUAUCUAAAGAGAAUAAAUCUAUCGCCAUCAUGAUGAAGAGAAUUAUUCGGAAACAUCAGAAAAUCAUUUACUUCACGAAAAACAUUGAAAGUCUAUAUACAUUCAUUGCGUUCAUACAAUUUGUAUCAAACACGAUGAUGAUUUGCUUAAUAGGAUUUUUAAUUAUAACAGCACUCGGUGACCCUAACGCGACAAAAAAGAUAGUGAAAGCCAUUUCAUACUACAGCGUGACAAAUAUGGAAGCAUUCAUAUUUUGCUAUGCUGGAGAAUAUUUAAUUAAUAAGAGCAAAGCGAUAGGAUUAGCUGCAUAUAAUAUUUCAUGGUACGAAUUGGAGCCUGAAUACAAUCGUAUUCUUUUAUUCAUAAUAUUAAGAGCACAAAAACAAUUGACACUUACAGUUGGGAAAAUGACAGAUCUCUCGUUACAAUGCUUCGCAAGCAUUAUGAAUUCUGCAGGAUCAUAUUUGUCGGUGCUAUUGGCGAUGCAAUAAAUACCACAUCCAUCUUGCCAAUUUUGAAGAAUUUAUAUGCUUUAUAUAAAUUCAAUAUAUAAAUUAUUAGAAAUAAUUAGAAAUAGUGCAUAUACAUAGUACCACAGCAUACCUCGAAUAUAUACUUCAAGAAAGUACAUGGACUCUUGAAAAGAUUACUUUGUUUUUCUUCAAAUCAUUGCGCAUGAUUUUCGAUGAACUAUAAGUUGCUAUUCCAUUGUGUGUCAUUAAA